rnacentral:misc_RNA from 1 species
GUAGGUGAACCUGCGGAAGGAUCAUUGAAAAAUACAAGUACUGGGGAGGGGAGGGUUAACCCCAGAAGAUAGGUGAGAUGGUGACUAAUGUUUAUCUCGCUUCCUGAAACGGGAAAAUAAUAACCACUGGUGACUAUUCUGUUGCUAUCGUGCCAGCCGCUGACGGCAAAACCAGCUGCCGGUGCUUCUUUUUUCCUUUUUUCCCUUGAUUUCCACAUUUGAUUUCUGCCUGAUGAACUGAGGGUGUGCC